AACGAACGCUGGCGGCAUGCCUAACACAUGCAAGUCGAACGAGACCUUCGGGUCUAGUGGCGCACGGGUGCGUAACGCGUGGGAACCUGCCCUUAGGUUCGGAAUAACUCCUCGAAAGGGGUGCUAAUACCGGAUGAUGUCUUCGGACCAAAGAUUUAUCGCCUAUGGAUGGGCCCGCGUUGGAUUAGCUAGUUGGUGGGGUAAAGGCCUACCAAGGCGACGAUCCAUAGCUGGUCUUAGAGGAUGAUCAGCCACACUGGGACUGAGACACGGCCCAGACUCCUACGGGAGGCAGCAGUGGGGAAUAUUGGACAAUGGGCGAAAGCCUGAUCCAGCAAUGCCGCGUGAGUGAUGAAGGCCCUAGGGUUGUAAAGCUCUUUUACCAGGGAUGAUAAUGACAGUACCUGGAGAAUAAGCUCCGGCUAACUCCGUGCCAGCCGCCGCAGUAA
rnacentral:rRNA from 1 species